rnacentral:rRNA from 1 species
UACGGAGGGAUCCAAGCGUUAUCCGGAUUUAUUGGGUUUAAAGGGGUGCGUAGGCGGCCUAUUUGAGUCAGGGGUGAAAGACGGUAGCUUAACUAUCGCAGUGCCCUUGAUACUGAUGGGCUUGAAUAUACUAGGAGGUAAGGCUGGAAUGUGACAAGUAGCGGUGAAAUGCAUAGAUAUGUCACAGAACACCAAUUGCGAAGGCAGCGUUACU